GCCCUUCGGGGUACUCGAGUGGCGAACGGGUGAGUAACACGUGGGUGAUCUGCCCUGCACUCUGGGAUAAGCCUGGGAAACUGGGUCUAAUACCGGAUAGGACCACACACUUCAUGGUGAGUGGUGCAAAGCUUUUGCGGUGUGGGAUGAGCCCGCGGCCUAUCAGCUUGUUGGUGGGGUAAUGGCCCACCAAGGCGACGACGGGUAGCCGGCCUGAGAGGGUGACCGGCCACACUGGGACUGAGAUACGGCCCAGACUCCUACGGGAGGCAGCAGUGGGGAAUAUUGCACAAUGGGCGCAAGCCUGAUGCAGCGACGCCGCGUGAGGGAUGACGGCCUUCGGGUUGUAAACCUCUUUCAGUAGGGACGAAGCGAAAGUGACGGUACCUACAGAAGAAGGACCGGCCAACUACGUGCCAGCAGCCGCGGUAAUACGUAGGGUCCGAGCGUUGUCCGGAAUUACUGGGCGUAAAGAGCUCGUAGGUGGUUUGUCGCGUUGUUCGUGAAAACUCACAGCUUAACUGUGGGCGUGCGGGCGAUACGGGCAGACUAGAGUACUGCAGGGGAGACUGGAAUUCCUGGUGUAGCGGUGGAAUGCGCAGAUAUCAGGAGGAACACCGGUGGCGAAGGCGGGUCUCUGGGCAGUAACUGACGCUGAGGAGCGAAAGCGUGGGUAGCGAACAGGAUUAGAUACCCUGGUAGUCCACGCCGUAAACGGUG
rnacentral:rRNA from 1 species